rnacentral:lncRNA from 1 species
UGUUCGAAGGUACCUUUCAAAUGAAUACUCUCGCGCCUUUCAAAAGCUUCCCAUCAUGGCAACUGCAAUUUUGAGUGGUUCCUGGGGAAAUGGUGCGGUGAAUGAGAGCAUCUGACACCCCUUGGAUGCUGGUUGCUGUCUGUGGUUGCUGAGCUCCCCCAGGAGGACCCCAUGGUCUGGCUGCGAGCUCCAGACCAGCUCUUGGACCGGUUCUCCGAAACUUCAAGGCAAAGGGUACCAGCCUGGAUGACAUGAGUGCUGUUGAACCACAUCAAACCAAUGAUCUGAUCCUUAACAGCAAACAGCACCUGGUCUUUUUAAAGGCAGGAAAAAAAAAAAAAAAGUCCUGUAACAUGAAGGCAGAAAUGAAGGAAUAAACACAACAGAGACGUGACCCUGGCAGUUUCCCCACGGGAAAUCCCACUGGAUCAGUAACCUUGGACCACAGAGGCGCCUUGUGGUACAAUGGGCAGCGGUGCAGGGGCCCACAGCGAGACUUGGGGUUGGCUUAGUACCAGGACUUGUUUUGAAGUUGACCACAGAAAGCUCUCCAGGCUCGAAUGUGACCCUGACCGCUGUUGGUGAGAAAACCAGGAAUAUCCUGGAGGCGACGUACCUUUGUGUGAAAGGCAGCUGAGCUGGGAGGGGACGUGGCAUCAGGGUGCUUCCCC